rnacentral:rRNA from 1 species
CGAGCGGCGGACGGCUGAGUAACGCGUAGGAACGUACCCCAAAACCUGAGGGAUAAGCACCAGAAAUGGUGUCUAAUACCGCAUAUGCUCUUAGGAGUAAAGCUUCGGCGGUUUGGGAGCGGCCUGCGUCCGAUUAGCUUGUUGGUGAGGUAAUGGCUUACCAAGGCGACGAUCGGUAGCUGGUCUGAGAGGAUGAUCAGCCAGACUGGGACUGAGAACGGCCCAG